rnacentral:rRNA from 1 species
GAUGAACGCUGGCGGCGUGCCUAACACAUGCAAGUCGAGCGGAGAUUCAUGGAGUACUUGUACAAAGUGGAUCUUAGCGGCGGACGGGUGAGUAACACGUGAGCAAUCUGCCUUUCACUGGGGAAUAACACUGGGAAACCAGUGCUAAUACCGCAUAAUGUCCUUGGGUGGCAUCGCCCGGGGACCAAAGGAGCAAUCCGGUGAAAGAUGAGCUCGCGUCCGAUUAGGUAGUUGGUGAGGUAACGGCCCACCAAGCCUACGAUCGGUAGCCGGACUGAGAGGUUGAACGGCCACAUUGGGACUGAGACACGGCCCAGACUCCUACGGGAGGCAGCAGUGGGGAAUAUUGGGCAAUGGGGAAACCCUGACCCAGCAACGCCGCGUGAAGGAUGAAGGCUUUCGGGUUGUAAACUUCUUUGAUCAGGGACGAAAAAAAUGACGGUACCUGAAGAACAAGCCACGGCUAACUACGUGCCAGCCGCCGCAGUAAUAC